rnacentral:rRNA from 1 species
GACGAACGCUGGCGGCGUGCUUAACACAUGCAAGUCGAACGGAAAGGCCCUGCUUUUGUGGGGUGCUCGAGUGGCGAACGGGUGAGUAACACGGGAGUAACCUGCCCUUGACUUUGGGAUAACUUCAGGAAACUGGGGCUAAUACCGGAUAGGAGCUCCUGCUGCAUGGUGGGGGUUGGAAAGUUUCGGCGGUUGGGGAUGGACUCGCGGCUUAUCAGCUUGUUGGUGGGGUAGUGGCUUACCAAGGCUUUGACGGGUAGCCGGCCUGAGAGGGGGAGCGGCCACAUUGGGACUGAGAUACGGCCCAGACUCCUACGGGAGGCAGCAGUGGGGAAUAUUGCACAAUGGGCGGAAGCCUGAUGCAGCAACGCCGCGUGCGGGAUGACGGCCUUCGGGUUGUAAACCGCUUUCGCCUGUGACGAAGCGUGAGUGACGGUAAUGGGUAAAGAAGCACCGGCUAACUACGUG